rnacentral:rRNA from 1 species
UAAUACGUAGGGUGCGAGCGUUGUCCGGAAUUAUUGGGCGUAAAGAGCUCGUAGGCGGUUUGUUGCGUCUAUCGUGAAAACCUGGGGCUUAACCCCGGGCCUGCGGUGGAUACGGGCAGACUUGAGUUCGGUAGGGGAGACUGGAAUUCCUGGUGUAGCGGUGAAAUGCGCAGAUAUCAGGAGGAACACCGGUGGCGAAGGCGGGUCUCUGGGCCGAUACUGACGCUGAGGAGCGAAAGCGUGGGGAGCGAACAGGAUUAGAUACCCUGGUAGUCCACGCUGUAAACGUUGGGCGCUAGGUGUGGGGAGCAUUCCACGUUCUCCGUGCCGUAGCUAACGCAUUAAGCGCCCCGCCUGGGGAGUACGGCCGCAAGGCUA